UACGUAGGGGGCAAGCGUUGUCCGGAAUUAUUGGGCGUAAAGCGCGUGUAGGCGGUCCGCUAAGUCGGCUGUGAAAACCUGCAGCUUAACUGUGGGCUUGCGGUCGAUACGGGCAUCACUGGAGUUCGGCAGGGGAGACUGGAAUUCCUGGUGUAGCGGUGAAAUGCGCAGAUAUCAGGAGGAACACCGGUGGCGAAGGCGGGUCUCUGGGCCGAUACUGACGCUGAGGAGCGAAAGCGUGGGGAGCGAACAGG
rnacentral:rRNA from 1 species